rnacentral:lncRNA from 1 species
UACCAAGGCUGGUGGUAUUGAUUUCUCUCUGUGUAACUAACUGAAUUUCCAUCUGUUAUCACUUUUCUGCAGUCUGAAGAACUUCCUUUCGCAUUUCUUGGAGUGAGAAUCUGCUGGGUUUGAAUUCUCUUAGCUUUCUUUUAUCCAGAAAUUUAUUUAAACCUCUCUUAUUGAAGGAUAUUUUCACUGGCUGUAGAAGCCUAGGCUGACAGUUUUCUCUCUGUGAUUUUUACAUCUCAUUUGAUUGUUUUCCAACCACCACUGUUUUUCAUGGUAGUAGUUAUUUGUAAUUCUUAUCUUUGUGCCCUGAUACACAAUGUAUCUUUCUUUUCCUCUGAAUGCUUUAUGAUUUAUCUUUGAUUUUUAGUAUUUUGACUAUGAUAUGGCCAGGUAUGAUUUUCUUGAUCAUUAAUACCCCUCAUCAAUUUUGGAAAAUUCUCAGCUACUAUUGCUUCAAUUUUCCCCCCAUUCUCUCUUUCCUACAUCUCCAUUUUUCACUAUGCUAGAACACUUUAUAUUCCCCACAAGUCAGUAAGGCUUUGUUUAUUUUUUAUUUCAAAAAUUUUCUUCACAGUAAGCAAUUUGUGAAAAUUUCUCUUAAGCUAUUUUCAAAGUCAUUGAUGCUUUCUUCUAUAGUGUUCAAUUUGCUGUUAAGCUUACCCAGGGGACCUUUUAUUUCAGAUUUUGUAUUUCUCAGCUUAGUAUUUACAAUGGCUCUUUCUUAAAAUCAUUUUUAUGUAUUGACUAAGAUUCGUUAUCUCAUACAUCAUAUUAUUCAUGCUUUAUUUCAUAUCCCUAUGCAUAUUUUGAAAUCUUUCGAUGCUAAUCAUAACAUCUGGGUCAUGUCAAGGUCUGUUUCCAUUUUUUUCCCUUGAUUCUUUGAAGGUUUAGUAAUUUUUUAUUGCAUGCUAGACAUUGUGGAUGAUACAUUAUAGGGAAAAUUGAUUAUGUUGUCUCCCUUUAAAGGGUGAUGAUUUUUGUUUUAGGAGCAGUUAUGUAUUUGGUAGGUCUUGAUGUAGUCAGAUUUUGUUUUAGGGUUUCUCAGAAUGGUCUCUUAGUAUUUUUGUCCUAAGUCUUAGGGAAAGCCCUUUACUCUAGGACACAAAGCAUAUGAAGACAGGGCCUUUCUAGGGUCUCAAUGUAAUGCUUAUGUUUUGUUUUCAGUGAGGAUUGUCCACCCCAGCUGGGCUGCAAUCCCAAUGUUUACAAACUCUUUUGACCUCUGAUAUCUCUGUUCAGCUCUCAGCCUCCAAGCAGCAGAAUUCAAAGAGUCAGGCUCUGUACAUGUACUUCUUAGUUUUUGGUCCAGGCUCUGAGGGAAUCUGCACCUAGUUUUCUUGGGCCCCAGCUCUAUAUAACUCCCCCUUUCUCUGGCCAUGCCUCCAAAAAAUUCUAGCUGCCUUCACAACACAUUCUGGGGAGUUCCCAUUGUGGCUCAGUGGUUAACGAAUCCGACUAGGAACCAUGAGGUUGCAGGUUUGAUCCCUGGCCUUGUUCAGUGGGUUAAGGAUCCAGCAUUGCCGUGAGCUGUAGUAUAGGUUGCAGACAUGGCUCGGAUCCUGCAUUGCUGUGGCUCUGGUGUAAGCUGGUGGCUACAGCUCCGAUUCGACCCCUAGCCUGGGAACCUCCAUAUGCCAUGGGAGCGGCUCUAGAAAAGACAAAAAAAAAAAAAAAAAAACACAUUCUGAAUAAUAAUGGUAAUAUGAUUUUAAUAGAAAUUUCUUUAGUAUUUCAGUAUUGGUUAUUUCCAAUAAAUAUUUUAUCUUGUUUAAAAUUUUCCUUCUAUUUUUAUUUGACUUAGAGGUUUUGCCAUGAAUGCUUACAGAAUUAUAUCAACUACUCUCUUAUCGUAUAUUGUUAUAAUCCCAUCUCUUCCCCUUAAUUUACUAAUGGAAUAAAUUAUGUUGAUAAAAUUCCUAAUACCCAUUCUUAGAUUUCUGAAAUAAAUUCUUACUUCAUACACCCUUUUUAAAGCCCUUAACAUUUAAAUUAACAAAACAGAAUAAGAAGCUUUAAAACAUAGGGUGCUUAAAUAAAAAAAGGGAAAAUACUUAAGUUUCAGUCACGUUAUCUUACUUCAGCAUAUAAACGCAAGUCAUUUAACAGUUUUUUUUUGUUUGUUUUUUGGGUUUUUUUUUUUAUAUUUUGUCUUUUUAGGGCUGCACCUGUGGUGUAUGGAGGUUCCCAUGCUAGGGGUCUAAUCAGAGCCAUUGCUGCCGUCCAACACCAGAACCACAGCAACACCAGGUCCGAGCCACAUCUGCUACCUACACCACAGCUCACGGCAAUGCCAGAUCCUUAACCCACUGAGUGAGGCCAGGGAUUGAACCCGCAACCUCAUGGUUCCUAGUCAGAUUCAUUUCUGCUGCGCUACGACGGAACUCCAUCAGUUAAUAGUUGAAAGAAGUUUAUACUGCAUUUCUCUACUUGUGCUUCUAAGACAAUUACAUUCAGCUUUAUUGUGGUAUAAUGUAUGACAACUGCACAUUAAAGACUGAGUUGAUACUGUGAAGUGAAAAGAAUUUCAAAUCCUACCUCUGCCAUUUAUGAACCAAGUGAGCUUCUCUGAGCUUCUCUGUAAAAUGGGGUAAAAAUCACACCUACCCUGCAAGGUUACUCUGAGCAUGAAAUGUAGUGGUGGGUGAUGGUAUGCUUUGUAAGUGGUAAGCUAUUGUUGGUGGCUUUUUUUUCUUUUUUUUUUUCUUUUUUUCCAGAAUCACUCUAUGGUAUUUCUCCCACCCCACCCCCCUUUUUUCCUCUCUUCAAAAAUUAACAUUUUAGGAUUUUUUUUUUUUAAGCAGUUUAAAGUUCACAGCAAAACUGAGAGAAAGGUACAGAGAUUUUUCCAUAUAUUUCCUGCCCCCUCACAUGCACAGUCUCCCCCAUUAUCAACUUCCCCCACCAGAGUGGAGCAUUUGUUACAUUCAAUAGACCUACAUUGAUACAUCAUCAUCACCCAGAGUCCAUAGUUUACACUAGGGUUCACCCUGGGUGUUAUGCAGUCUAUGGGUUUGAAUAAACAUAAAGUGACAUGCAUCCACAGAGUAUCAUAACAGAGUAUUUUCGCUGCUCUGGAAAAUCCUCUGUACUCUGUCUAGUCAUUUCUCUCCCCAAAGCCCUGAUAACCACUGUCCCAUGGUUUUGCCAUGGCUGUUCUUUACUACCAGUGGUCCCCAAGGAGGGCAGAGCUGACGUGCGACAGUCCCUGCUCAGGAACAGGUUGUGGGAAGAUUGACCCUGUUGUCACUGCCCAGCCCUGGAUUCACUGUCCUGGCUGCUGGGCAGGCCCCCCGAGGGUCCUAUUGCUGUUUGGGGAGGCAUAAAAUGAAAGAAGAAAUCACACUCUCGUUUCCUAAAAAAGAAGGAAAACAAGGAAAAGGGCAGAGAAAUUCAUUUGUCCCUGAGGAGAAAAAGAGGAAAGAAACUAAGGAAAUUAAUUUCUGAAGACUGGGACUGUAGAAACGACAGAGUUCUCACCCUGCUUCCAGUAUUCCAGGGAGGACUAGUUCAUUGUUUUUUCUAAAGGAACAAUGGGAAAUGACUUAUACACUCCAGUUCAACUGCCUUCACAUUUAACCACAUCUUUAGAGGUAGGCUUGGAAAUCUAGCCACCUAAAGAUUUCUGGGUUGUUUGUUUUUGUUUGUUUGUUUGUUUUAAACAAGUGCAUUGUAGAUUAAACAAACAAAAAUCUUGCAAAGACAUUUUGUAACUUAAUUCACCUUUCUGUCUUUACCCAAAUCCUUCAUAUACACCUCAUCAGCCUAAGCUCCAAACGCCUAAACAUGUGAUGGCAAUGCUUAUGAAAGGGUCUAUGUGGAAGGGAGCUAUUGAAUGGCUGGAGAAUGGCGAUCAAACAUCAGGACACAUUGCAGAGGAAAGCAGCUGUUCUGUUUGGGAAAGCCACGGAGAUGCUUUGGAAUGGUCUUUGAGGAGCCGUCACCAACCUCUAGUGGAGCGUCAUAUACACAGGGCUGCCCUAACACCAGACAGUAAGAAUAAUGGAGAAUUUCAGAGUUGAUAAUAUUCUAAAGAAAACCCUAUUAACCUAUUCUUAGCUAAGGGGCCAAAGUUUUACAUGUACCAAAAUGUAUUAAACAAAUGUGAACAUACACUCUCAACUUCUAACUCUGGGCAAUGAAACUAUUAAGUUGCAAUAUUAGGAUUUAAGUACAUCCACUUGAAUAAUUUAAUUUUUGUUUCAGAUAGGUUAAAUUCCUGUAAUUUCCCUUUUUUUUUUCUUUUGAAUUUAAAUCCUAGUUCACCUAGAAUUUUUGGUAUUCUGAGAGAUCUGAUUUGCCUAAAAUAGAUGUAAAGAGAAACCCUCUGUAUGGAUAACCAGAACAGAUCAUGUUCAAUGGCAAAACAUCCCCCUGGUUCAGCUCUAUAACCCUGCAGACAGGUAGGAGAGAAGCUGGGUUGGAGGGCAGCUAUCUGUUGAUGGCAUGGUAGAUCUUCUGCCUCUCAUUUGUAAUGUGAUCUAUUUGUUUGGUAGCCGAGUUUGUUGUUUUUCAGGAAAAACACUACAGGGAUAAACAUAUGUUUCCAUGUUGCUAUUCUUUUGGCUUCCACAAUCCAGGAUAUAGGCCUGCUUACUAUUCCAUUUGUCUCCUCUGGGAGACUCACAAUAGACUUGUUAAGUUGCAUUAGCUUGGGUAGAUGCAAAGAAAACUCAGGGACUCUUUAAAAGCAAU